CAAGGAGACAAGGUGGCCGCUACCUCGGUGCGAGAACGCAAGUCAAUAUAGUGGUCACGAUGCACCGACAGAAGUCAGCGCGACGUUCGGCAGCCCGCCUUCACGUCCCACCGCGAGAACCAACUCGACGCCCUUCAAACCAUUCGCCAUGGGUAAGCUCGAAUAUGGCGCUCCGCGAACUCCGCUGCAGCUCCGCCCUGGGCGUCAACGAAGUUCACCCUGAGAGCGUCAAGGGCCCUCCCGGUGCACUGCAAGAGAGCGCGGCUGAAGGUUUGAAACCUGAGCGUCGUCACAAGCCGCGCCCUUGCUACGUGGAAAGGAGGGGCGGUUCGUGCCCCUCUUGAAGCCGCACAAAACAGAUGGUGGUCCCGCGCCUUACUAUCCUGUAAAACCGACUAGCAACCACCCCCCAAAGCCCCCUCCAGCGAGUCGCCUCGCCACGACUGAGCGACCAUUCUGCGAGACAGACUCCAGCCGCACCCCGCUCCGCUGUAGACCCCCCCCCCCCCCCCCCCAAGUGUGCAGCGCAACCGGACGCCGGCACGGCACCGCGCCAUCUGUGCUCGUCACACCACACUCCUCACAUCCUCCGCGGGCAAGGAUGUGAUGCAGGCCACACUACGAUUCGCCCUCUGCAAGGUGGCGCGCUGGACGCUCGAGCACGCCAGGCAGAGGGGUGAGCAUCUCCCCAAAAUAAGGCGCACACGCGCCGGUGCGCGGCACCGCGACCAGCAACAGCUCUCCGCUGCACGCAUUCACCUCGUCACGCACGUCUCACUCGCGCUGCAUGGGCUUCUCUCUUGUAGCGUCUUUGACGCCGCCGACAAGUCCCCCUUCGGAAGGACAAGCUGUAAAUUCUCUGCGCGCAGCCGCACGUGCCUGUCCGAGAGCCCCUUCCGCUUGGCACACCCACUCCUGCCAGAGGCGUGCGGGCUCAGGAGAGGGCGGAGUGCUCCCUGCUACCACAGAUGUGUAGCAGCGUUCCAUCUGUCGCGGUGCAUGUGGGCACGCCAUCCAGACCCCCUUCCCCCUUCCUAUGAAAUAGACCGAAAUGGACGAUGAAGACACCGAGCCCUCUUCCACAGACAGCAGCGUCGCCUUGAGGCGGGGCCACGAUGCAGAAAUGCGAGUGCUGUGCGCACGGACUGUCAAGCAUAGCUGGCAUGGCGUGCCACGUUCAAGCAGCGCAUCGAGAGGUCAGCAGCGCAAGAGCGAUGGGCGGAAAAGGCGGGAAGGGAUCCGUACGAGUCAAGCCCAAGGCGCGUGUGUGCAAAGAGCAUGCGGUACCCCCUCCAUCUGAGCGGGUGGGCUGCUGAGGCAUGGGUGCGGGGAGGCACGACGGGGGCACCUCGAGUUGCACCCACCGGGUCUUCCAGACCCUCCAUGCGGAGGGUGUUCACCCUAUAUUAUGGGACGCGGCGGCUUGAAGCGAGCCGGGGAGAAGCGCGGCACACAGCCAGACGGCGCAGGGUCUUCGAGGGCCCUGGCCCGAAGCUCGCCAACUCCCUCCUUGAGCUCGCGCUGCAUGCACGUGGACCACCCUCUGUUGCCCGCACGCUAGAUGCCAGGGCUUUUGUCCUCGAGCAGAAGCCUGUGCGCAGCCCGCGUGGAUUAGGGCAUGCGGCCCACCCAAGCCCCCCUCGGGCGCCGCUCACGCAGCGCGCAUUCGACGUACGGACAAGGACGGACAAGACGAGUCCCGUCGACGCACAACCCUGAUUCUACAGCAAGACGGCUCACCCUAGGCGAUCAGGAUUUAGCCGCGGUGCAGCAGAAGGUGGUGGUGUGUGGUGGUGUGUGCGCAUGCGUGUAUAUUUUGUUGACUCGUACAUGGCAAAAUGACACUUCGAAAAGGGAAAAUUCCGUGGUUCAUGUGCGCGUUGCCGCCAUAGCCUUAUUCCUAUGACGGUAGUGGACACCGUUUGUUGCGUUGUAGCGCGUGCUACACCUUCUCUUCCUCCGAGUUUAUUUGCGCCGGUCCUCUGCGUACACCGCCCCGCUAACGGCUCCAUCGCUCGUGACUUGUGGCACGGGCGCACUGGCUUCUUUCACCAAUCGUUACUCCCCUUGAGUGUAGUGCAAGCGAUUUUAUCAUCUGUUUCGCUUGCGAGUCUGCUCACGUGUGCGUGAUGCACCUUGUCAAGGCAACGCUACGCAGCAGAAACGGGAGGUGCAGAGAGAGAGGGCGAGAGCGUAAUUAAUAACGGAGCGAAACAGGCAGGUUUCUGUGUGCGCGUGUGGAGCUUUUCAUGCCUGCAGGCGGCGGCGGUACAGGAAACAGUUGCACCUAUGAAGAGAGAGUGGGCAGCGCGUGCGGCACUUGCAGGCGCUACCCGUCCUUCGCUAUUUUUGCUUUGAAUUAUUUGUGUCGGCUGGGCAGGGAGACGUCCGACAACUCUUCAGCCGCAAACCGUCGAGAAUAAACGAAAGACAAUGAAAGCGAUUCACGCGCGUCUGUGUGUCGCGCGCCGCUUACGCAUAUGCGCGCAAGAGAAGAACAGCAAACGAAUAACCCUUAACAGACAAAACGAUGAAGAGGAGCGCUGCUCCGCCCCCUCCCCCUCCCCCUACCCCCCACUCCUUCCCGCUCCUUUCCGAGUCGAGCUGGGAGCGAAAACGUCAACGAGAGCAUCUGAGCUAGGGUCAG
rnacentral:misc_RNA from 1 species